CCGUAGCCGGUUUAAUAAAUGCCUGGGUAAAUUGUAUAGCUUAACUAUACGAAUUCCGGGUAGACUGAUAAACUUGAGACCGGGGGAAGUUAGAGGUACUCCUGGGGUAGAGGUGAAAUUCUGUAAUCCUAGGGGGACCACCGGUGGCGAAGGCGUCUGACUAAAACGGGUCUGACGGUGAGGGACGAAGCCCUGGGGCGCAAACGGGAUUAGAUACCCCGGUAGUCCAGGGUGUAAACGCUGCUUGCUUGAUGUUAGUCGGGCUUCGAGCCCGAUUAGUGUCGGAGAGAAGUUGUUAAGCAAGCUGCCUGGGAAGUACGGCCGCAAGACUGAAACUUAAAGGAAUUGGCGGGGGAGCACUGCAACGGGUGGAGCGUGCGGUUUAAUUGGAUUCAACGCCGGAAAGCUCACCGGAGGCGACGGUUACAUGAAGGCCAGGCUGAUGACCUUGCCAGAUUUUCCGAGAGGUGGUGCAUGGCCGCCGUCAGUUCGUACCGUAAGGCGUUCUGUUAAGUCAGACAACGAACGAGACCCUCAUCUUUAAUUGCUAUUGGCUAGUCCGCUUGUCAAGCACAUUAAAGAAACCGCUGGCGAUAAGCCAGAGGAAGGCGAGGGCAACGGUAGGUCAGUAUGCCCUGAAUCCUCCGGGCUACACGCGCGCUACAAAGGCUAGGACAAUGGGCUCGACACCGAGAGGUGAAGGUAAUCCCGAAACCUAGUUAAAGUUCGGAUCGAGGGUUGAAACUCACCCUCGUGAAG
rnacentral:rRNA from 1 species